rnacentral:rRNA from 1 species
AAACUUUCAACAACUGUUCUCUUGGUUCCGGCUGGGAUGAAGAACGCAGCAAGAUGCGAUAAGUAAUGAGAAUUGCAGAACUCAGUGAAUCAUCGAAUUUUUGAACGCACAUUGCGCCCGCCGGUACUCCGGCGGGCAUGCCUGUCCGAGCGUCAUUG